rnacentral:rRNA from 1 species
CAGUAGCCACGGUAAUACGUAGGGUGCGAGCGUUAAUCGGAAUUACUGGGCGUAAAGCGUGCGCAGGCGGUUCGUUAAGACAGAUGUGAAAUCCCCGGGCUUAACCUGGGAACUGCAUUUGUGACUGGCGAGCUAGAGUAUGGCAGAGGGGGGUAGAAUUCCACGUGUAGCAGUGAAAUGCGUAGAGAUGUGGAGGAAUACCGGUGGCGAAGGCAGCCCCCUGGGCCAAUACUGACGCUCAUGCACGAAAGCGUGGGGAGCAAACAGGAUUAGAUACCCCUGUAGUCCCUGUCUCUUAUAC